AUGGCGGAGGCCUUAGCUCUCAAAUUUGGCCUAAAUUUAGCGCAAAGGGCAGGAUGUAAUCGCCUAAUCAUCAACUCUGACAACCUGGAGGUGAUUGAGACCAUGCAGGAUGGAGGACAGUCAGCGGGAGCGGCGGCGGCAAUCUUCGAUGACUGCUAUCACUAUGCUUGUGAUUUUAUCAUGACUAAAUUCGAACAUUAUAAUAGAGAGGCUAAUAAAGUAGCACAUGAACUUGCUAGAUUAGCUAGAUUUUUUUCGACUUCGGAUUGGUUUGAGGAGCCUAUUAGUGAAAUUGUAACGCUUCUCACAAACCAUGUAUUGGUCAUUGCUAAUGAAUAA
rnacentral:rRNA from 1 species